rnacentral:rRNA from 1 species
GAUGAACGCUGGCGGCGUGCUUAACACGUGCAAGUCGAACGAUGAAGCCCAGCUUGCUGGGUGGAUUAGUGGCGAACGGGUGAGUAACACGUGAGUAACCUGCCCUUGACUCUGGGAUAAGCCUGGGAAACUGGGUCUAAUACUGGAUAUGACUUCUCAUCGCAUGGUGGGGGGUGGAAAGAUUUAUUGGUCUUGGAUGGACUCGCGGCCUAUCAGCUUGUUGGUGAGGUAAUGGCUCACCAAGGCGACGACGGGUAGCCGGCCUGAGAGGGUGACCGGCCACACUGGGACUGAGACACGGCCCAGACUCCUACGGGAGGCAGCAGUGGGGAAUAUUGCACAAUGGGCGCAAGACUGAUGCAGCGACGCCGCGUGAGGGAUGACGGCCUUCGGGUUGUAAACCUCUUUCAGUAGGGAAGAAGCGAGAGUGACGGUACCUGCAGAAGAAGCGCCGGCUAACUACG